rnacentral:rRNA from 1 species
ACGCGGGAUUUNCCUUACUGAGGAUACCUUGUUACGACUUAGCCCCAGUCACUAGUUUUACCCUAGGCGGCUCCUUACGGUUACCGACUUUAGGUACACCCAGCUUCCAUGGUUUGACGGGCGGUGUGUGCAAGGUCCGGGAACGUNUUCACCGCAGCGUUGCUGAUCUACGAUUACUAGNGAUUCCAGCUUCAUNGAGUCGA